rnacentral:rRNA from 1 species
GUAAGGAAUAUUGGGCAAUGGACGCAAGUCUGACCCAGCCAUGCCGCGUGAAGGAUGAAGGUCCUCUGGAUUGUAAACUUCUUUUAUCUGGGGCGAAAAUCGGUCAUUCUUGGCCGCUUGACGGUACCAGAGGAAUAAGCACCGGCUAACUCCGUGCCAGCAGCCGCGGUAAUACGGAGGGUGCAAGCGUUAUCCGGAUUCACUGGGUUUAAAGGGUGCGUAGGCGGGCAGGUAAGUCAGUGGUGAAAUCCCCGAGCUUAACUUGGGAACUGCCGUUGAUACUAUCUGUCUUGAAUAUCGUGGAGGUAAGCGGAAUAUGUCAUGUAGCGGUGAAAUGCUUAGAGAUGACAUGGAACACCGAUUGCGAAGGCAGUUUGCUACACGGUAAUUGACGCUGAGGCACGAAAGCGUGGGGAGCAAACAGGAUUAGAUACCCUUGUAGUCC